UGCGUUCCAGCAAUUUGCCCACCUCAUC
rnacentral:sRNA from 1 species